AUUCAAGGACUCCUCAAUCAAAAUCCAAAAAAGAAUUUCAAGACUCUAAAGCAGUUUUUUGAUGAUGGAAAGAAGAAGAAAGUUGUCAAAGAUUUUGAACAAAGACCUAACAUUUCAGCUUAUGGAAAAAAGAACGUUGAUGUUAAGGAAAAGAAUGGGGUCAUUGAAGAUUUUGAACCAAGACCUAAUAUAUCAGCUUAUGGAGAAAAUGACAUCGAUGUUAAAGAAAAGAAAGGAGCCAUUGAAGAUUUCGAACCAAUACCUAACAUUUCAGCUUAUGGAGAAAACAACAUUGAUGAUAAGGAAAAGAAUGAGGGCAUUGAAGAUUUCGAACCAAGACCUAAUAUUUCUGCUUAUGGAGAAAACAACAUUGAUGUUAAGGAAAAGAAGGGAGUAAUUGAAGAUUUCGAACCAAGACCUAACAUUUCAGCUUAUGGAGAAAACAACAUUGAUGUUAAGGAAAAGAAUGGGACCAUUGAAGAAUUCGAACCAAGACCUAAUAUUUCAGCUUAUGGAGAAAAUGACAUUGAUGUUAAGGAAAAGAAGGGAGCCAUUGAAGAUUUCGAACCAAGACCUAACAUUUCAGCUUAUGGAGAAAACAACUUUGAUGAUAAGAAAAAGAAUGGGGCCAUUGAAGAUUUCGAACCAAGACCUAAUAUUUCAGCUAUGGGAGAAAACGACAUUGAUGUUAAGGAAAAUAAGGGAAACAUUGAAGAUUUCGAACCAAGACCUAACAUUUCAGCUUAUGGAGAAAACAACUUUGAUGAUAAGGAAAAUAAUGGGGCCAUCGAAGAUUUCGAACCAAGACCUAAUAUUUCAGCUUAUGGAGAAAACAACAUUGAUUUUAAGGAAAAGAAGGGAGCCAUUGAAGAAUUUGAACCAAGACCUAACAUUUCAGCUUAUGGAGAAAACAAUGUUGAUGUUAAAGAAAAGAGUGGGGCCAUAGAAGAUUUCGAACCAAGACCUAAUAUUUCAGCUUAUGGAGAAAACAACAUUGAUAUUAAGGAAAAGAAGGGAGCAAUUGAAGAUUUCAAACCAAGACCUAACAUUUCAGCCUAUGUAGGAAAUGACAUUGAUGUUAAGGAAAAGAAGGGAGACAUUGAAGAUUUUGAACCAAGACCUAACAUUUCAGCUUAUGGAAAUAACAACAUUGAUGUUAAGGAAAAGAAUAAGACCAUUAAAGAUUUCGAGCCAAGACCUAACAUUUCAGCUUAUGGGAAUAAUGAGAUUGAUGAUGAAUCCAUGAAGGAUGUUGAGCCAAUACCAAGUCUCACUAAAUACGAUGCAUAAAUGUUAGAAAAUGCAUCUUCAAU
rnacentral:lncRNA from 1 species